AUAUACUUCGUAUGUUUUUAAUAUUUGAAGAGGAUGUUUUGCAUCUGUGCACUUAUUUUUUUCAACCUUAUUUUACAAGUUCCUCUACUAUGAUGAAUAGAGAAACUUAAGAUAAUUCACUAGCUGGCUGUGAAAGGCUGAGA